UGUUGCGUUUUUCGUACGCACGUACACGCACGUAAAACUUUGAAUCCUUCUAUUUUUUAAAUAUUUCACGGAACACUAAAUUCUGUUACUUUAUUUAUUUGGUUAUUUCAUAAAUAACAUUUAAACGGAUUUAAAGUUUUACGUGCGUAUACGUACGUAUGAAAAACGCAACA